CUCCGUGCAGAGUGGACUCCAAACCCACUCCCUGUUCUCGAAGCUUCCUGUCUCCUGUUCGUUUUGUUCUCGCUUGUGAUUCCCCGACAUCGGCCACACUGCGCCGCUGUCUCCUGCCGCAGCCACGGCGUUCGUCUCUCUGUCUCUCUCUCUCUGUCUCUCUGUCUCUUUCUCUGUGUCUCUCUCUCUUUUGCGCGCGCUUGCAGAGAGCU
rnacentral:lncRNA from 1 species